CAGUCGAGCGGACAGAUGGGAGCUUGCUCCCUGAUGUUAGCGGCGGACGGGUGAGUAACACGUGGGUAACCUGCCUGUAAGACUGGGAUAACUCCGGGAAACCGGGGCUAAUACCGGAUGCUUGUUUGAACCGCAUGGUUCAAACAUAAAAGGUGGCUUCGGCUACCACUUACAGAUGGACCCGCGGCGCAUUAGCUAGUUGGUGAGGUAAUGGCUCACCAAGGCAACGAUGCGUAGCCGACCUGAGAGGGUGAUCGGCCACACUGGGACUGAGACACGGCCCAGACUCCUACGGGAGGCAGCAGUAGGGAAUCUUCCGCAAUGGACGAAAGUCUGACGGAGCAACGCCGCGUGAGUGAUGAAGGUUUUCGGAUCGUAAAGCUCUGUUGUUAGGGAAGAACAAGUNCCGUUCGAAUAGGGCGGUACCUUGACGGUACCUAACCAGAAAGCCACGGCUAACUACGUGCCAGCAGCCGCGGUAAUACGUAGGUGGCAAGCGUUGUCCGGAAUUAUUGGGCGUAAAGGGCUCGCAGGCGGUUCCUUAAGUCUGAUGUGAAAGCCCCCGGCUCAACCGGGGAGGGUCAUUGGAAACUGGGGAACUUGAGUGCAGAAGAGGAGAGUGGAAUUCCACGUGUAGCGG
rnacentral:rRNA from 1 species